CUGACUGGAAUUGAACAGAAUAAGACAUGGCUAAAUCCAAGUAAGACAUUAUGUUUUUAUUUCUUAUUCCCUAGAUGUGUCCAUGGCAACUGACUGGAAUUGAACAGAAUAAGACAUGGCUAAAUCCAAGUAAGACAUUAUGUUUUUAUUUCUGAUUCCCUAGAUGUGUCCAUGGCAACUGACUGUAAUUGAACAGAAUAAGACAUGGCUAAAUCCAAGUAAGACAUUAUGUUUUUAUUUCUGAUUCCCUAGAUGUGUCCAUGGCAACUGACUGGAAUUGAACAGAAUAAGACAUGGCUAAAUCCAAAUGUGUCCAUGGCAACUGACUGGAAUUGAACAGAAUAAGACAUGGCUAAAUCCAAAUGUGUCCAUGGCA